AUUAUGCUUUUGCUUUAUGUUUUUCAAUAAUAUUAAAUCAAAAGAUUCAAAUGGUCUUCUCAAAGACUAUGGUUUAGCGAAAUCAGAAAGUGUAAAAAAAACUUAUAUGAAGUUGUUUAAAGCAAGUUUAAAAAAAAAGAGAUAAAACAAUUUAUAAGACAUUAUUAUUCCAGUUUAACAAUAAAAAAAAAGAUGUAAAAAAACUGACAAGCUAAAAUAAAACUUGAAUCAAUCUCAAAAACAAAGUGAUAUACUGAAACAAAAAUACAAUUCAGCAGAGAAAAUAAUAGUUAUAAAAAGUAUCCUUUGUAUAUACAAUUUCAUAAAUAAAAUUUUUUAAAUAUUAAAAAUGCUUUUAUCUUGAAAAAAUUUCAAUCGGAGCAAAUUUUAAGUUUUUAUAAACUUUAUUAAUGGUUUUAACAUAACAAAACCAGAUUGCCAAAUUUGACUUUUAACAUAGCAAUAUUAGAUUACAAAACAUGAUUUCAAGAUUCAAAUAUUUUACUUUUUUGAAUAUUUUCUAAAUUGCCUGGGCAAUUUAAUGUCCUUUUUUAAAAAACAUUCCAAUUUAAUAUAAAAUUUAAAAAGUUUCUUAAAAAAACCCAAUUAAAUUAGAUUGUCGAGCAGCUGUAAAUUUAUGUUUUCUGUGAUCAUGCAACUUUUUUGUGUUUUAUUCUAUGCUUAUGUAAUUAAUACCACAUCGUUUUAGAGCCAUGAGGUUAUUAAGGACAAUAUUUACAAUCUCAUUAUUAAAAAGCUCUUUACUAUGACAAAUAUGCUAUGUCUUUUAAACCAUCAUCAGUGCUUUGUACAUUGGUAUUUUCAGUAUAAUUUGGGAAGAUAUUAGUGACACUUUUGGUAUUAUUUUUAAAAUUGUCAUUUUUUCUAAAGUUAUCAUGAUCAUUUAAAUCAUCUGUGAGUUUAUUGAUAUAUAUUUCAAUGUUUUCAUCUUUAUUGUUAUCUACGUGAAGUAUAUUUGGAUCAAAUAAUAAGGUAUUAAACAAAAUAUAAUCUGAUAAAACAAAGGCACUACAUUAUGAGUAGUUGUUAUGUAAAUAUUGAAUAACGGAGGAUUUGCGUUCUAAUUUCAAUUUCAUAAAUACAAAAUAAAUAUGUUACAACUAAACAGCCAUUUUAAAGUGUUAUUUCAAUUUUUAAACAACUAAUGAUACAUCCUUUUAAAAAAAGUUUAGUUCUGGAUUUGCUGAUAUAGCAAUUAUGUCAUCAUUUUUUUUUUGGACACAAUCUUAAAAAUUGGUUACACUUGGUAACUGUUUUGUUUAGGAUAGAACCUUUUUUCUUUUAUAGUUUUCAUUGUAGUUAGUUUCUUAUUGUUAUUGUAUUCAAAAACACAAAAGUGAAAGUAAGCAAACUUAGUACACAACUUGCUAGAACUAACAGGACAACUGCGAUGUUCUAUUUCAGGAUUAAAUCAAUCAAAAAGUAAAAAACUGAUCUCAAGUAGUAGCUAUAUAAUUUUAUACUUAUAGAUUCGCAACUUUAUAAGAUUCUUUAUGCUUUUUUAGGAAGUCCGAAAUUCCUCUCCUUUUUUUGGUUACAAAAUUUGUAAUCAAUAUCUUCCUAAUUUUCUUAUCGUAAAACAUCUUGUUUGAUGAUCGUUCAGCUAUAAUUUUAGGUAUUUUAAGUGAGACUGCAUUGAAAAUAAAUGUUUGCUAUUCAAUAACAAUAUUCGGUAAAAACCUCAAUUCAGUGGUAUCAAUACUUCCGGGAUACUUGUUUAUUUAAAACUAUUGAUGUUGCUACUGUAAAUCAAUUAGGUGGUCCAGGGCCAUUGUAGAGAUAGAUGAAUCUUUAUUUUUUAAACGAAAAUAUAAUGUUGGGCAUAACGUUGAAAAACAUUGGAUUUUUGGGCCAUUUGAUGUAACUAGUAAGAAAGGAUACUUAAAAAGGGUAGAAGAUCGAACAGCUCAGACAUUAGUGCCAAUAAUUCAACAAUCGGUUGCACCUAGAUCAAUAAUACACUCAGAUCAGUGGGCUUCUUAUGCUAAUUUAAAUAACUUAGGUAACAAUCAUUUCACUGUAAACCAUACAAUAAACUUUGUUGAUCCUGACACUGGAGCAACAACAAAUCAUAUUGAGUCGUUUUGGUGUCGGAUGAAACGAAGGUUAAAGUAUGUUUUUAGAUCACAGGGUGAUUUAAAGUGGUCUAGGCUAGAUGAAGCUGUAUGCAGAGAAUACUAUGAUUUUUAUAAUAAAACUGUUUGGGAAAAUUUCUCUUUAUUCUUAAAACAUAUUAAUGAUAGAUAUCAUCUGUAAUGUAAAGUAAGUAUUAUAAUAUAAUAUUUACAUUGAAAAUGUUUCAUAAAUUUAUAUUGAACUUGUUUUUUUUUAUGUACAACACAAAAUAUACGUUGCAAAAACUAAAAGAAGAUAAGCCACAAAAAGAUAUGCAAAGAAGAUAAGCUACAAGAAGAUAACUGUAGAAGAUCGAUUAAAAGAAGAUUAGCCACAAAAAGAUAUCAACAUCUUCAUCUACAAUGAGUGCUGUAGUUUCAUCCUCAACUGCAUUAUGUGUUCCAUCUAUAUCUGCUAUAAUUGGCAUGUUUACAAACUUUUACUUUUCAAUAUGUUAAUACAUUUCUUGGCAUUUCUUCACAAUAUUUAUUUUUAUUUCAACUUUGUUAACCUUUAGUUAUAUCUUUAGCUGCUACAAUUGGUAAGUUUAUAAACUAUUAUUUUUUAAUAUGUGUAUGCAUAAUUUGUGUAAAAGUAUUGUUUCUAAUAUGUCUAUGCCUAUCUUAUCGACUGCAAAUAAAUUGUAGUUUUAUUUUAAAAAAAUUUUUAACUUUAAUCCCACGACCACAACAAUCUGCACAACCUUCUGCUGGUAAAUUUAUGAUUUAGAAAUGUUUCUGAAUGAUUAUUUAAUUCGUAAAUUUUUAUUUAUGUUCACUAAUUAAUACAUUUGUAUUAUGUUAUUCUUCAAAGUGCAGUAAAAGUAAAAUCCAGAGCAGUAUUUAAUUUUUUACUUUAAUUAACAUUUUUCAAGCUACCAUUGGUUUAUUAUUAUUACAAAUAAUUGGUUUAUAUUAAAUGUUAUGUAAUGCCAUUCAAUACGAAUUUAGUAACAAUUUAUUGUCAUUUAGAGCUUACCUAUCGUGCCUAUAGGAGAUAUAGGAACCAGCACCCUGGAACGAUUAGCAAUCGGUCAUUUUUGUGAUGGGCCCGUUUAGGAGGGAAUGAUGGUAAAUCAUUCAGCUAGGCCUAUCAUCCUCCUAAUAGGGUUGCUGGGAGCUAGCAUUGACAGGAUUUAUGGGUCCAAAAAAUAGUGGAGUUAUGUUUUCGGAUGCACUGAAAAAAGUGUAAUGUUGGAGAAAACUGGGGGGUGGGGGAGAGGGUGUUGUGCGGUGCACACAUCCCAGCCAUUAAGUCAAUAUAUACAACACUUUUAAAUGCUGUAAAGUAAGACAAUACAAUUAAAACUUUUUAACACAUAAUAUAAUCAGUGUUUUUUAGGUUAAAGUAUUUAUAAGAAUGGAACAUUUCACUACGAGGGUGUUAAAACGUAACAAAGACAUCGACCCUUUAUUCUAAAAUAGACCACUAAUAUUUGGAAAGGGAAUGGAAGCAAAUUGGAACAACUUUUUGUGUAUAAAGAUCCUUCGAAUUGGAUUGUCUGUAAUUCAAAAUUAAGCUUUGAUAAAGUCAGUGAUAAAUCUUAAAGUUUUUCAAAGAUUAAUAUAAUACUCCACAAUACUCUACCUAGUCAGUUCAGCAAGAAAAAAAGAGCAUUUUCCCUUUCAAAGGACGAGGUUUAAUACUGUUUACACGAUUCCUAGAGCAAAAAAGAACUUUAAAAUGAUGUUGGCAAUGACCUAAAGCCCGCACCUGAUCUAAAUGAAGAUGAAUGACGUCAAGUGUUCGUACAGUCGAUUCUCGGAAAAUAACAAGUGGAUGAAGAAGUUUAAAAAAAUUAUAAUUUAUACAACUUAGCACAAGCGAUGAGAAAGAGUUCUUUAGAAAUGCGCAGGAGAUGAGAGCAGAAGAGGUGGAUUCAGUACUUUUUUUGCCUGGAAAUUUUCUCGAUAGUCAAAGUUCCCAUUUUUAUUCAUCUUUUUGUUUUUCUUUGUAGUUUUUUUUUUGAAGUUUAUCUUACUGCGAUUAAAUUUAUGAACUAAUUUUUAUACAUUUUGUUUAUUUAGAAAAUUUAAAAAGUAAAGUUAGUAAGCAAAAUUUCAUUAUAUUUUUUUUGUUUAUAUUAAAUAAAAAAUAAUGAGAUUGGCUUGAG